CUCUUAUCCUGAGCUGGUGGAGGGACAGGCCCUGUGAAACCCAGCAACCUGCCGUAUGAUGAUUCGGAGAAGGUGCUAAACCUGAGCAAGGAUCAGCCUUGGACGAUAAGAG
rnacentral:ncRNA from 2 species